ACAAAAUUAAAAUUAAAAAAACAAGGGAACAAGGUGUCGUUUUGUGGAAGAUUUGUGUUAGGGUUGAAAAAUAGUGAUAUUCAGUUCUCUUGUCCCUCUCCUUCCACACAGAAACGGCGCGGUCGUUCAUCUCACCAUCUCUUCUUCAUCGUGAACCCACCAUCUACAACUCUCUGUCUUCUUCAAGCUUUUCUAACAACAUAUCCAAAUUCUCUCUUCGUCUCUAUCUUCUAUCAAACUCAAAUUGCGGCGCCGCUUCUGUUCACCGGCGAAGAACACAAAGACCUCGGCAGCUGUAUCAACGGCUGA